rnacentral:rRNA from 1 species
UAGCCGUAAACGAUACUCGCUAGGUGUCGGCCACGGUGCGACCGUUGUCGGUGCCGUAGGGAAGCCGUGAAGCGAGCCACCUGGGAAGUACGGCCGCAAGGCUGAAACUUAAAGGAAUUGGCGGGGGAGCACAACAACGGGUGGAGCUUGCGGUUUAAUUGGAUUCAACGCCGGAAAACUCACCAGGAGCGACGGAUAUAUGAAGGUCAAGCUGAUGACUUUACCUGAUUUUCCGAGAGGUGGUGCAUGGCGUAGUCGUGU